CUUUCAAACUUCAGUAUUAAUUCAGUCAGUCUUCAUUCAGGGUUCAAAGCUCUUCAGGCUGACUCGGCAGUGCAGGACAGGAGAGAGUAUUAUGGUGCACUCACUUUACAUUUUACAUGACUGGACACAGCAUAUCGUAUUAGAUGGCUCUUGAGUGAGAGAGAUGAAAUGUAGCCAGCAGGCUCUGAGCUUGUUUCUGUCUGAGUAUCAGAUGAGGAGGAUGUUUAGAACCUGCCAUGAACUCGCUCUCCUUUGAUUGUUGCAAUGCUGCUACAGGAGCCUGAGAGACUGCUUGUGUGGUAGUGGUUGGAGAUGGGACAGUUUCUGCUCUCCUGCUGGAAUACCAGUUACUGUCUCUUCCUCCAAAUCUCCAAGACAUCAAGCUGAGGAGGCCGAGGUCUGUUGAUGAGCAUAUGUGAUUACAUGAGGCUGGAGAUGGAAGAUGAAGUGUGAAAAUGGAGCGACCUGUGGGAGUCUCACAGCCUAAAGAAAAUCAAUAUUACUUUCCUUGAGAUCCUCUUUCUCUCAGCAUCUGUGAGUAUUGCAGUACUUCAGUACUACCUGUAACCUUUAACAGCUCCUGAGACUUAAUGUCAAGCCCAUAUGAUAUGAACAACCCAAAUUCCACUCCUGAUAACAGACCAGACAAAGGAAGAAAAAGUGGGCCCCAGAAUACGAAACCUCCAGUGGCAGAAGGAUGGCCAAGAGACUAGUGGAGAUGAAGCAGUGGCUCCAGCGCUCUCUGCCACGUCCCCUCGUGUCCCAGAUCUAACCCCCUGUGAAAAACUUCACCGCUGUGGGGUUCCAGGGGGCACGUUGCUUCAUGACAUGGGAAUGAGGGUGGGGCAAGAGAGAGAAGGAGAGGGGAGAGAGACAUUACCAACGGGCUCGCCGACCCCGGGGCAUGCCACCAGAUGGUCUUCAGCCAGCUGGAUGGCCAGAUUCAGGACGCCUGGCAGUGGCACUGGACCCACUCGGCUUUCUCUUGAGGGAGCCGAGCGAUGAACUGCUCCAGUUCCACCUGAUCGAUCAUUUCCUCGACUUCACAUGUCAGGGCCAUCAGCCACUUGUCUCUCCACCAAUCACUGGAAUUAGAGACUGGUGUUAGUUAUUAUGCACUUGAUCUCCUUAUCACCACUCGUCUGACCUCGCUUUACCACGCCCCCCUCACCACACUGAAAUCCAAGCAAAUUUAAAAGUGCUAGCUAAUGCUAAACAUAAAUACUCUAAGAUUAUUAUUCACGUCAGCACUAAUGAUGUUUGACUUCGCUAGUCGGAGAUCACUAAAAUGAACAUUGGCCCCUCUGGCCCCCUUCCUGUUCGCCGGAGUGAUGAAAUACUUAGCAGACUGUCGUCACUUAAUGGCUGGCUGUCAAAGUGGUGUCCGCAGAAUAACAUAAGGUUCAUAGACAGUUGGAAACGUUUUUAGGGCAGACCUGACCUGUUGAAAAGAGAUGGUAUUCAUCCCUCCUGGGGUGGUGCCACCCUUCUCUCUAGUAAUAUGGCACAUAGUCUUGAAGUUGAAACAUGACAAACUGGGGCCCAGGUCAGGAAACAGACAGACUGGCUAAACCGACCGUCUGCUAGCUGUCUCACAUCACAGAAGUCAGAUAAAUCCCAACACCUAGAGACUCUUUCACCUAGAAAUCAGCACAUAAAGACUGUGUCUGUUCCCCAAAUUAGUAACUACAAAAAACAUCCAAACCCAUUUAAGUGUAAAAAUUUAAUUGAUGUUGAACAAAUAAAAAACAGAUAUAAUACAGAUGAACAAAUGAUAAAGCUUGGGUUGCUGAAUAUUAGAUGCCUUUCUUCAAAUGCACUUAUUGUAAAUGAUAUGAUCACAGAUUAUAACCUAGAUGUGCUGUUUCGGCUAAAACCAGAGGAUUACUUUAAAUGAGUCCACCCCCAGGACUACUGUUAUAAACACAAGCCUCAUCUGUAAGGCAAAGGGGGAGGUGUUGCUGUAAUUUAUAGUAAUAUCUUCAGUAUUACUCAGAAGCCUAUAUUUGAAGUUUCAACUAUAAUUCUUUUGAAGUGAUGGAGCUUUAUGUAAUGCUAUCUAGUGUAAUUGAUAAAUCCUGUUUGACAUUUGUGCUGGCUAUACUGUAUACAGGCCACCUGGGCACCAUACAGACUUUAUCAAAGAUGCUGAUUUGCUGAUUUUCUAUCGGAGUUAGCACUGGCUGCAGAUAAAGUCCUAAUUGUUGGUGAUAUUAAUAUCUAUGUAGAUAAUGAAAAGGAGACAUUGAGGUUGACAUUUACAGACAUUCUAAACUCUGUUGGAGUUAGACAACAUGUGUCAGGACCCAUUCAUUGUCGUAAUCAUUCUUUAGAUCUAAUAUUGUCGCAUGGAAUCAAUGUUGCUGUUCUGCAGCAGAGCGAUGACAUCUCAGAUCAUUAUCUAGUCUUGAGUACACUACAUUUAGCCAAGGCUGCAAAAGCGGCUCCCUGUUACAGAACUAUCACUUCACUUGAUUCUACCGCUAAAGAUUGCUUUAUAAGUGAUCUUUGUGCUCAGUUUCAUCUCCUCAGCAUACCAGAUAGCUUCGAAGAACUUGAUGUUGCAACAAAAACUACUGACUCUCUCUUUUCCAGCACAUUAGACAAAGUCUGCGCUUAAAGAAGAUUAAGGAAAAUAGUCCAACGCCAUGGUACAGCAAGGACACUCGGGCCCUUAAAAGGUUAGUUCACCCAAAAAUGAAAAUUCUGUCAUCAAAGAUGCCCUAGAACUUCUUUUUAAAAGAUGUAAUAUAAGUCUAAGGAGUCCCCUGAAUGUGUCUGUGAAGUU